ACCUUUUAAGUAUACCACAGUACAUUUGCCUUCCAAGUAAAAAGAUUAAUAAAAUUUAAAAAAGGUA
rnacentral:tRNA from 1 species